AGGGGUUUAGUUUAAUAGUAGAACACUUGCCUUGCAUGCAAGAAUAAGUCCUA
rnacentral:tRNA from 1 species